GAUCAAUGAGAGAUUUCAGAUGUUGAGAAAUUUGAUACCCCAUACUGAUCAAAAACGAGAUACCGCGUCAUUCUUGUUCGAGGUAAUUCAGUACGUACAGUAUUUACAGGAUACAGUACAGAAGUAUGAAGGAUCAUAUCAACCUUGGAGCUCGGAGCCUACAAAACUUAUGCCAUGGAGAAACACUCAGUGGCGCGCGCAGAGUUUUCCUGCAAACCCUCAAGCCUUGAACAAUGGUACUGACGCUGGACCAACAUAUUCAGGAAGGUUUGAUGAGAAUCUCUUAACCGUCACUUCGUCAAUGCAAGCCAAUCAGCGGAAUCCACUUGAAUCUCAUUCUGGGGGUGAUGUUAAAUCUAUGGAUCAAGGAAAGGAACUAGCUAGAACGGCAAUUGCAACAUCGAUGCCUCUUCAGGCUAGUAUGCCAGUCCCUUUUCAGAACGAUAGUGCCUUCUCUGACUCACUACCUACACCUGCUUCUGAUGAAUGCCCUAGAACCACUAAUGCUCUGAAUGAUCAGGAGUUUAUGGUAGAAGGCGGCACAAUUAACUUUUCGAAUACUUACUCUCAAGGGUUACUGAAUUCGUUGACACACGCGCUACAGGCUACUGGCCUUGAUCUUUCACAGGCCAGUAUAUCGGUGCAGAUUAAUCUAGGGAAGCGAGCAAACAAGGAAAGGGCCUUGGGGCCAUCUGUUGCUAAGGAUACAGAAAAUCCUCCACCUGCACCUGGCGAUCAAUUUUUGGAGUUUCGAGAUACAAACAAUGGUGAAGAGUUGAACCAAGCUCAAAAGAGGCUGAAGAAAUAGAUACAACUAUAUAGCAUGGCAAUACCAAGUCAAAUCAACUCAAGUUGGCAUCACCUUCGCGUUAAUCAGUUUGAGUGUAUAUCCCGCAUUUUUUUAUCAGUACCAAAUGUUGCUCAUAUGUUCAUAGCAAUGCCUUUUGAUGUCUUUCCUUUCUU
rnacentral:misc_RNA from 1 species